rnacentral:rRNA from 1 species
AGCAGCCGCGGUAAUUCCAGCUCCAAUAGCGUAUACUAAAGUUGUUGCCGUUAAAAAGCUCGUAGUUGAACCUUGGACCUGGCAGAUCUGUCCUCCUAAUCGAGCGCACGGAUUCGGUCGGGUCUUUCCUUCUGGGGAGCCCUAUGCCCUUCACUGGGUGUAGUGGGGAACCAGGACUUUUACCUUGAAAAAAUUAGAGUGUUCAAAGCAGGCCUUUGCUCGAAUACAUUAGCAUGGAAUAAUAGAAUAGGACAUCGGUUCUAUUUUGUUGGUUUCUAGGACCGCUGUAAUGAUUAAUAGGGAUAGUCGGGGGCGUCAGUAUUCAAUUGUCAGAGGUGAAAUUCUUGGAUUUAUUGAAGACUAACUACUGCGAAAGCAUUCGCCAAGGAUGUUUUCAUUAGUCAGUGAACGAAAGUUAGGGGAUCGAAGACGAUCAGAUACCGUCGUAGUCUUAACCAUAAACUAUGCCGACUAGGGAUCGGACGGUGGUUUUUUUAUACCNCG